rnacentral:lncRNA from 1 species
AUCUGGACCCAAUUCCAGGAGUGGAGCAGAUAACUACAAAAAGAGGGACUUUUGGAUGCAAAUUUGGGAGACUCCAGCAGAAAGCCUCAAUUGGCUGGGACCACAAGAGCUACAAGAGCUAGUAAAGGCAACGUACAAAGCCUUAGGAACAAGAAGUAAUUCGGCAGCUUGUGGCCAAUUGGUGGGGACCGCGCAGAGGCUCAAAACAAGGAGAUGAAUUCGGCAGCUUGUGUCCAAUUGGUGGGGACCACUGGAUAUCUUUCCUUUGGCUUUAAAUAGGGAGCUAACGUACAGAGGCGAGGGACCGCUUUUAGUUUAGCUUUUUAGCCUAGUCUUUAGUUUAGUUUUUUUCUUUCUUUUCCUUGGACUGGCCUCUGACACACGCCAGGUGCUUGACAAUAUUCCCCAACGGGGAAAACCUCCUUCAUUCCUUAUUUCUUAGUACAAAACGAUGCCUUCGCAAUUUAUUAACUCGUGUGGUGAUUUAAUUAUGCGGCGUGGCUAAGUCUUUCAUCUAGUCAAGGGUCAACUCGAUGGCGCAGUCCCGAAAAUCUGUGAGAUCUAAUUAGUUUUCACGUGUUCCUUUAUCUAUUAAUAUUUGCAUGUUGUCUGAUUUAAUUUUCAUGGGAUUAUUUUAUUAAUUGGAUGUCAAGGGCCCGAUGUUCAACUUGAUUUAUUAAUCUCGUGCCAAUUUAGUCAAUUAAAUCCGUAAUUGUUUGAUUGAUUAAUAUUAGUGGCAACUGGUGUGUUUACACAUUAGAGGAAUGUGCAAUCUAAUUUAAAUAACCCUCGUAGCGUGUUAUUGAUUAGGGCUAGGUUUUUCUGGUUAUUAAUGCAAUUAGAAAAUUAAUUCCUACGGUCGUACCUAGGAGUACUUUUCUGGUUAGGGGUGAUUAAUGGUCGUACCUUGGUCACCUAUAACUUAAGGAAAAAUUGGUUGUCAGACUAUAACUAGCCUAUUAAUACAUUAAGUGAACCUCUCCUGCAUCAAUGAUCGGAUAAAUGGACUGUGCCUGAGUAGUUGUAUCCUUGACUAGAAUUUAUUUAUUCCUGAUUAAAUUCCUGCUAUAUUUGCGCUAGUUAUUUAUUCAUUUUUAGUUAAAUUGUUUAAUUGUUUUUAGUUGCAUUCCGGUGAAAUCCCCCUUUAUCAAUUGGACUUUGAAAGAGACAGAUAUCUCCAGUCCCUGAGGAGACGACCCUACUUGCCACUGUCUACUAUUUAGUAAUUUUUGUCAAUUAAUGAAUUCUGGUAUAUCGGGUUAAGCAAACUCUUCGGGAAUAGGGUGAAUCAAGUAACCCAUUGCACACCUAGAGUCCCUGCUCCAGUACCUAGGAUUAAUUAUUGACUGCUUUUGGUGGUAGAUAGGUUCUAUUUUUAUUAUUAUUAUUGCACAGGCUGACGACCUGUCAAUUUUUGGCGCCGUUGCCGGGGACUGGCGUUAUUAUUUGUUUCUUUUUAAAUUCAAUUUUGUCCUAAUUUUCUGGUCUUCUUCUAGUGUAUGCCUCGAUCUUCUCGUACAGGUGAUUUGAUUUUUGACCACGAGAUAGAGAAGACCGCGCGUAGAACGAGAAAGGAAACCAGACAACUCAGAGAAGAGCACUCCAGGGCUACAUCUCAAAGACCCGAGUCAGAAGUUGAACCAACAGAUUCGUUUGGUGACACUUCAAGUGACUCUGACCAGGAGGAAGGAACCAUGGCUAAUGCACAAACAUUAAGGGAGUUGGCUGCUCCUGAUUUAACUCAGCAGCCUUUGUGCAUUACUUUCCCCGCUUUAAAUGACAACAUUCCAUUUGAACUAAAAUCUGGUCUGAUUCAGCUUUUACCCUCUUUUCAUGGUUUACCAGGUGAAGAGCCGUAUAAGCAUCUGCAGGAGUUUGAUGUUGUUUGCAACAGUAUGAAACCCCCGGGAAUCACAGAAGAGCAGAUAAAAAUGAGGGCAUUCCCCUUCUCCUUGAAAGAUUCUGCGAAGGACUGGCUGUACUACCUGUCACCAGGUAGCAUCACCACGUGGGGCCAAUUGAUGAAAAAAUUUUUGGAUAAAUAUUUUCCUGCAUCCAGGGCUGCAAGUCUAAGGAAAGAAAUUUGUGGGAUCAAACAGCAUCCAGGGGAGUCACUUUACGAGUAUUGGGAACGGUAUAAGAACUUGUUGCGCAGGUGCCCCCAACACCAAAUAAGUGAGCAGUUGAUCAUACAAUAUUUUUAUGAGGGACUCAUUUUUAGAGACAGGAGCAUCAUUGAUGCUGCAAGUGGAGGGGCACUGGUGAACAAAACCCCUCAGGAAGCACGGGAGUUAAUAGAGGGGAUGGCAGAGAACUCACAGCAAUUCAGUACAAGAGAGGAUGUUCCAAUACGUAGGGUGAAUGAGAUAGAGACACCCUCUGUGCAGCAGCAGCUAAAUGAGUUGACUGCUUUUGUUAGGCAACAGGCUGUGAGAAAUGCAUCACAAGCCAGGGUAUGCGGGAUUUGCACUGGUAUAGGCCACUCUGCAGACAUGUGCCCAAUGAUUCAGCAAGAAACUGCAGAACAGGUGAACAUGGCUGACCACGCGCCCGCGCCAAGGAAGCAGUACGACCCUUAUUCAAGCACCUACAACCCCGGGUGGAGAGAUCAUCCCAACCUCAGUUAUGGAGGGAAUAGGCAACCCAACUUUACACCGAACAGGCAGUCUAGCUUUGUGCCAAAUAAGCCACCAGGGUACCAGCAGCAAUACCAACCCCGACCACCUCCGCCCCCUCAAUCCGGUUCAUCUAUGGAGGAGAUGAUGAAACAAAUGAUGACAACCAUGGCGCAAAAUCAGCAAAGGACAGAGGCAACUAUUAUGCAAAAUCAGCAAAGGACGGAGGCAACCAUUAUGCAACAUCAGCAAAGGACGGACUCCGAAAUGCAGGACAUAAGGAAUCAGAUAAGUCAACUGGCCACAACAAUCAACCGCUUGGAUGCCCAAAAUCAAGGUAAAUUGCCAUCUCAACCUGAGUUGAACCCGAAGAAUGUGAGCGCCAUGACCUUGAGGAGUGGCAAGGAAGUUCAAGGGCCUGAGCCUGUGAUCCCCAAGGACAAGGAUGAAGAGAAGAUCGAAAGUGAGCUCGAAAGGGAGGACAGCAAUGGUGCAGAUCCACAGGUGCUUCCUGACCCAACAAUUACAGUUAGGACUAACCCGCCUCCUUUUUCUAGCAGGUUGGAAAAAUCAAAGAAGCAGGAUAAGGAGAGGGAAAUCUUGGAGGUUUUUCGCAAGGUUGAGAUAAAUAUCCCCCUCUUAGACGCCAUCAAACAAGUACCAAAAUAUGCCAAGUUCCUAAGGGACUUGUGUGUCAACCGAAGGCGAUUGAGAGGGGAUGAACGGGUUAUUGUUGGGGAGAAUGUGUCAGCGGUCCUGCAGAGAAAGCUCCCACCAAAGUGCGGGGACCCAGGUAUGUUUACUAUUCCCUGUAGGAUAGGUAAUACUGUGAUCAGAAGGGCCAUGUUGGAUCUGGGAGCAUCAAUUAAUGUCAUGCCUAAGUCUAUCUAUGCUUCUCUAAAAUUAGGUCCAUUAAAAGAAACUGGAAUUAUCAUUCAAUUAGCUGACCGAACUAAUGCAUAUCCUGAUGGGUUGGUUGAAGAUGUAUUGGUAAAAGUUAAUGAUUUGGUGUUUCCAGCUGAUUUUUAUGUACUGGAUAUGGAUGAUGAUCACUCCCCUGAUCCCUCACCUUUGUUAUUGGGUAGACCUUUUAUGAGCACUGCACAGACGAAAAUUGAUGUUAAUAAGGGUACCUUGUCCAUGGAGUUUGAUGGGGAAAUUGUGCAUUUUAAUAUUUUUGAUACUAUGAAAUACCCCUCGAACUCCAACUUUAGCUCAAUUUUCUCUGUGAGUGCUAUUGAUCCUGUAGUGCAGGAAGUGUUUGAAACUGAUGGCAGGGAUGAGUUGGAGGUGGCUUUAACCAAGCACCUCGAGUUGGAGACAACUCCUCAGGUGGAGUGGAGUGAGGAUUUAAAAUGCACAAUAGGUGCAUUACACUCAUUGCAGACCACCAGGAAAAGGUAUGAAGUCUUACCUAUUUUUACUCCCGAGCCUCAUCAGAGGGUAUUGCCAUCUGUGGUGCAGGCACCUGUACUGGAGUUGAAACCUCUACCAGAGCACCUGAGAUAUGCAUAUUUGGGUGAUAAUGAGACACUCCCGGUGAUUAUCUCGUCGGCACUGUCAAAAAUCCAGGAAGAGAAAUUGAUCCGGGUCCUUCGGGAGCAUAAAGAGGCGAUAGGCUGGACAAUCGCAGACAUUAAGGGGAUAAGCCCGGCCAUCUGUAUGCACCGGAUUAGGCUAGAAGACGAUGCCAAACCUGUUAGGCAGGCUCAAAGAAGGCUCAAUCCCCUCAUGAUGGAAGUUGUAAAGAAAGAGAUUCUAAAACUGCUAGAUGUGGGGAUCAUCUUUGCAAUAUCUGAUAGCCCUUGGGUGAGUCCGGUUCAGGUAGUCCCGAAGAAGGCAGGAGUAACGGUAGAAGCCAACCAAACGGGUGAGCUCGUGCCAGUGCGCAAACCCACUGGAUGGAGGCAGUGUAUAGACUACCGUAGGCUGAACGCCGUCACUAAAAAGGACCACUUCCCUCUCCCUUUCAUUGACCAAAUGGUUGAACGUUUAGCUGGUAAGGCUUAUUAUUGCUUUUUGGAUGGAUUUUCAGGAUACUUUCAGAUAGCAAUUGCCCCAGAGGAUCAAGAGAAGACAACCUUCACGUGCCCGUUCGGGACCUUUGCCUACAGACGAAUGCCAUUUGGGUUGUGCAAUGCACCUGCGACUUUCCAACGAUGUAUGGUAAGUAUUUUUUCUGAAUAUGUGGAGAAAAUUAUUGAAGUUUUCAUGGAUGAUUUCAGUGUAUAUGGUGAUAGUUUUGAUACGUGUCUAGAUAACCUGAAAUUGAUCCUGAUAAGGUGUAUAGAGACUAAUCUCGUGCUUAAUUGGGAAAAAUGUCAUUUUAUGGUUGAACACGGGAUAGUCCUGGGUCAUAUUGUAUCAUCUAAGGGCAUUGAAGUUGACAGAGCUAAAAUAGACGUUAUUUCUGCAUUACCUUACCCCGCAAAUGUGCGGGAGGUGCGUUCUUUUCUUGGGCAUGCAGGUUUUUAUCGAAGGUUCAUCAAGGAUUUUUCAAAAAUUGGGGCCCCGUUGUUCCAACUCUUGCAAAAGGAUGUAGCCUUCGAGUUUGAUGACAAGUGUGAGAGAGCCUUUGACAAGCUGAAGGAAUUGUUGACUUCACCCCCAAUCAUCCAGCCCCCCGAUUGGAGGUUGCCAUUUGAGAUCAUGUGCGAUGCCAGUGAUCAUGCUGUUGGGGCUGUACUGGGGCAAAGAGUAGGGAAGGCAGCUCACGUCAUCUACUAUGCAUCCCGAGCAUUGAAUGGAGCCCAGUUGAAUUACUCCACCACUGAGAAGGAGCUUCUUGCAGUAAUUUUUGCUCUAGAAAAGUUCAGGUCAUAUCUGUUAGGUGCUAAAGUGAUUGUAUUUUCUGAUCAUGCAGCAUUAAGGUACCUGAUGACCAAGAAAGAUGCAAAACCGAGGCUCAUCAGGUGGAUAUUGCUACUACAGGAAUUUGACCUGGAAAUAAGGGAUAAAAGAGGCUCAGAGAAUUUAGUAGCUGACCAUCUGAGUCGUAUACCCGUUGGAGAUGAUAAUGAACCAUUGAGGGAUGCAUUCCCUGAAGAGCACUUAUUUUCUUUAAAUUCUCAGUUGCCUUGGUAUGCUGAUUUAGUCAAUUAUUUGGUAACUGGUAAUUUUCCUGCAGGUUGGCAAAAAUCGAAGAGGGAUAAAUUGAAGAGCGACGCCAAGUAUUUCAUCUGGGAUGACCCAUACUUAUGGAAGAGAUGUGCAGAUCAGGUGAUGAGGAGAUGUGUAAGUGAAAUGGAAUUUCAAUCGAUUUUAACUUUUUGUCAUACUUUUGCCUGUGGAGGUCAUUUUGGACCCAAGAGAACUUCUCAUAAGGUUUUAGAAAGUGGAUUUUAUUGGCCUUCAUUGUUUAAGGAUGCCUAUGUGUUUUGUAAGUCAUGUGAUCGCUGUCAAAGGGUAGGUAAUAUAGCCCGUAAAGAUCAUAUGCCCCAAGUCCCGAUGAUUUUUGUAGAAAUUUUUGAUGUCUGGGGUAUAGAUUUCAUGGGGCCUUUUCCUACUUCAUUUGAUUUUCUGUAUAUUUUGCUGGCAGUUGAUUAUGUGUCUAAAUGGGUGGAGGCUAAGGCCACUCGAACUAAUGACUCGAAAGUGGUUGCAGAUUUUAUCAGGUCUAAUAUUUUUGUGCGAUUUGGAAUGCCAAGAGCUAUUGUCAGUGACAGGGGAACGCACUUUUGCAACAAAACCAUAGCUGCGUUGUUUCGCAAGUAUGGUGUACUCCACAGGGUCUCAACGUCAUACCACCCUCAGACCAAUGGUCAAGCGGAGGUGUCGAAUCGGGAGAUUAAGUCCAUCUUGGAGAAAAUGGUGCGCCCUGAUAGGAAAGAUUGGAGCCACAGGUUGGAGGACGCACUUUGGGCCUAUCGGACGGCAUACAAGACACCUAUAGGGAUGUCUCCCUAUAGGUUGGUAUUUGGUAAGCCGUGUCAUCUUCCAGUAGAGUUCGAGCAUAAAGCAUUUUGGGCAGUUAAGCAAUGCAAUAUGGAUAUUGAGGAGGGCGGAAUCCACAGGAAGUUACAAUUACAGGAGUUGGAGGAGAUUCGCAAUGAAGCUUAUGAGAAUGCGGUAAUUUAUAAGGAGAAAAAUAAAAUUUUUCAUGACCAACAGAUCUCAAGGAAGACUUUCGAGUGUGGGCAAAAAGUUCUGCUAUACCACUCCAAAUUGCAGUUAUUUCCAGGUAAAUUACGUUCUCGUUGGAUUGGCCCUUUUGUUGUGACUAAUGUCUUCCAUUAUGGUGCAGUCGAGAUCCAAAGUUUGAAAGCUGAGAAGAAAUUUGUAGUGAAUGGUCAUCGUCUCAAACCGUAUUAUGAAGGGGCUCCAACUGAACGGGUGGAGGUGAUGCACUUGGAGGAUCCUACUUGCUUAGUUUAAGGAAAUUUUUGGACAAUGUCUAGCCAAAGACAUUAAAGAAAAGCGCUCAUUGGGAGGCAACCCAAUUGUUUCUUUUAAUUGUUUAUUGGUUUCCUGUCAUUGUUUGAAUCUGUUUUCCUUCAACUUGACUGAUUUUGGGUGUUAGUUUUCGUUUUUGCUGGUUUGUAGGCGACCUUCAGUUAUGACGUGCCCGCGUGGUGAUGUGCAGGAUGCUCACGAUCAGAAAAUUCUGAAACUUCUGGGAGCUCUCUUGGCCUUAUGACGUGCCCGCGUCACGUUCGCGGGAAAGGUAAGGAUUCAAAUAAAAAAAAUGAAAAAAAUAUAGAAAAACUAUUAUUAUUAUUUCAGUUAUUCAAAUAAUAACAAAACAAAAAAAAAGAAUAAAAAUAAAAAAAAAUAAAUAAAUAAAAUAUAUAUAUAAUAAUAUUAGUAAUAAUAAAUUAAAAAUAAAAAAAAAUUUCUUUUUUUUUUUUCCUUCUUUUCUUCUCUUUCUUUCCUUUCUUUUUCUUUCUUUCUUCUUCUUUCUUUCCCUUUUUCUUUCUUCUCCGCUGUUUUGCUGCUCCCCUGCUCUCUGCGCAUGCCGCCACGCUUCCAUUUACUGCCACCGCCGCCGCUGUCCCCCUCGCAUCGAGCUCCACCAGUCGCCACAAGCCUGCGCCGCCGACCCACCAGCUCUUUCUCACCGCAGCCGACCCACAACCGCGCGUAGCAGCCGCCGCAACCAGUAGACCCAUUCCCCCUCUCACCCAGCAGAUCCAUCGUCGCCGCCAUCUCCCUCACGUGCAGCUACUGAGCUCAGCCGCGCCAUCCCUUUCUCCCAUCUGCCAGCACGCCGCUGCCUCCCAAGGCCACACCAGCCCAAGCUGCCAGCACGCCGACGCGAGCGCCGCCGCCGCUGCCCAGUCCGCGUCCGCCAUCCACCCGAGCCGCCGCCAUCCACGCUGGAGUCGCGCGCCGCUACUGUUUUGACCCGAUUUCAGGGAAGUUUGGUCCUUUUCCCUCUCACUUUUGCUUUCUAUUUGUCACAUUGAGGACAAUGUGUCCUAUAGGUGUGGGGGGAAUGGGUCUAAAGUGGUGCUGGUGUUUUCCGUUUUUAGUAGUUUUUAUUUCUUAGUAAUUUUUAGUUUUCAGUUUUAGUUCUUAGUUUUUAAUAGUUUCUAGUUUUAUUAGUUUUUAGUUUUAAUUCUAGUUGUUUAUUUUUCUUUCUUUGUGUCUAUUAAUUCUAGUUUUAAUCCUAUGUGACAAUUUAGUAAACAAAAAAAAAAACCAAAAAAAAAAACCAAAAAAAAAAAAAAAACAAAACAAAAAAAUUAUUUGGUUUAUUGACUCUAGUUCUACUUUUGCCAAGUUCUUUUUAAGUAUAAUGUAUCGGGUUAGUGUGGUUGGAUUCGAGAUGUCUCCUUGGUGAAUAUCGGACUGCUUGGUUCUUUUGAUUUCCGUGUUAACUUUUCUAGGCAUUGGGAAUGACUGUUGGCAUUUUAAUGUGAACUGGUCCAAUAUUGACUCCAGUUCUCCAUGUUUGGCAAUAAUGAGGCGAGCUGCCCCUAUGUUUAGUUGUUAGCGCUGUUAUUUUGCGUUUCUGCUUUGAUUAGCUGUGAAUAAGCUUGACUGUACUCCUCUAUUGGCUACUACCGAGUAACCGGGAAUCUGUACCUAAAAGUGUCGAUUCUCGCGUCAAAAGGUGGUACUUAAUAUGAGUACGUGGUUGCAUAGCGGUAGGAGCUGAGUAACCGGGCUCCUUCAUCUAAAAUGUUGGAGUUCGCGUCAAAAGGCUCCGGCGGCUAGAGACUAAGUUUUCGUGUGUCAAAUAUUAUUAUGUGCUUUAAAAAAAAAAAAAAGAAAAAAAAAGGAAAAAAAAAAAGAAGAGAGAAUACAUAAUAGGGAAGCUUGCUGGUUUAUGGACUCAAUAUGGGGACUUGUGUGAAUAUUUGGACCAUUAGCUGAUAAAUGCUGUGUGUCAUUCCUUUUCCUUAGACUAGUUAAUUUGGAAAUUGAAGGAGUGUGCGGUAGAGGCUAACUGGGGGGAUGUUUCUCGGAUUUUAACUACUAGUGCCCGACAUAUGAUUUUCUCUUGAAUCUCUUGGCAAUGUGGUAGAUUAGAGUGAUGACCGAUAUAUGAUUUUUGGGUCUGUCCACUUUUCCCAUGCUUGAGGGCAAGCAUGAUUUAGGUGUGGGGGGAAUUGAUAGGGUAUAAUUUGUUAGUAAUUUUAUUAUUAAUUUCCCCUUCUAUCCCGGACAAAUAUUGUGUUAAUUGCUGAUAUUUACUCAUAUUUGAUAUCUGGACCCAAUUCCAGGAGUGGAGCAGAUAACUACAAAAAGAGGGACUUUUGGAUGCAAAUUUGGGAGACUCCAGCAGAAAGCCUCAAUUGGCUGGGACCACAAGAGCUACAAGAGCUAGUAAAGGCAACGUACAAAGCCUUAGGAACAAGAAGUAAUUCGGCAGCUUGUGGCCAAUUGGUGGGGACCGCGCAGAGGCUCAAAACAAGGAGAUGAAUUCGGCAGCUUGUGUCCAAUUGGUGGGGACCACUGGAUAUCUUUCCUUUGGCUUUAAAUAGGGAGCUAACGUACAGAGGCGAGGGACCGCUUUUAGUUUAGCUUUUUAGCCUAGUCUUUAGUUUAGUUUUUUUCUUUCUUUUCCUUGGACUGGCCUCUGACACACGCCAGGUGCUUGACAAUAUUCCCCAACGGGGAAAACCUCCUUCAUUCCUUAUUUCUUAGUACAAAACGAUGCCUUCGCAAUUUAUUA